ACCUGCCCCUGACUCUGGGAUAAGCGCUGGAAACGGCGUCUAAUACUGGAUACGAGUAGCGACCGAAUGGUCAGCUACUGGAAAGAUUUAUUGGUUGGGGAUGGGCUCGCGGCCUAUCAGCUUGUUGGUGAGGUAAUGGCUCACCAAGGCGUCGACGGGUAGCCGGCCUGAGAGGGUGACCGGCCACACUGGGACUGAGACACGGCCCAGACUCCUACGGGAGGCAGCAGUGGGGAAUAUUGCACAAUGGGCGCAAGCCUGAUGCAGCAACGCCGCGUGAGGGAUGACGGCCUUCGGGUUGUAAACCUCUUUUAGCAGGGAAGAAGCGAAAGUGACGGUACCUGCAGAAAAAGCGCCGGCUAACUACGUGCCAGCAGCCGCGGUAAUACGUAGGGCGCAAGCGUUAUCCGGAAUUAUUGGGCGUAAAGAGCUCGUAGGCGGUUUGUCGCGUCUGCUGUGAAAUCCGGAGGCUCAACCUCCGGCCUGCAGUGGGUACGGGCAGACUAGAGUGCGGUAGGGGAGAUUGGAAUUC
rnacentral:rRNA from 1 species